ACCCAGAUGACGAGUCCCGAAUAGGACGAAAGAGGUAUCCUGGAU
rnacentral:hammerhead_ribozyme from 1 species